CUUAAAAAAAGAAUCGCUUUUUUCCCUCUCCCAACAUGGCGGCCUCAGCAAAAAAGAAGAAUAAGAAGGGGAAGACUAUCUCCCUUACAGACGUUCUGGCUGAGGAUGGGGGGACUGGUGGAGGAAGCACGUAUGUUUCCAAAGCAGUCAGCUGGGCUGAUGAAACAGAUGACCUGGAAGGAGAUGUUUCAACAACUUGGCACAGUAAUGAUGAUGAUGUGUAUAGGGUGCCUCCAAUUGACCGUUCCAUCCUUCCCACUGGUCCACGUGCUACUCGGGAACCCAAUAUCAACCGGAGCCGUCUUCCCAAAUCGCCACCCUACACUGCUUUUCUGGGGAACCUACCCUAUGAUGUGACAGAAGAGUCAAUUAAGGAAUUCUUCAGAGGAUUAAAUAUCAGUGCAGUGCCUUUACCACGUGAACCCAGCAAUCCAGAGAGGUUGAAAGGUUUUGGUUAUGCUGAAUUUGAGGACCUGGAUUCCCUGCUUAGUGCCCUGAGUCUCAAUGAAGAGUCUCUAGGUAACAGGAGAAUUUGAGUGGACAUUGCUGAUCAAGCACAGGAUAAAGACAGGGACGAUUGUUCUUUUGGCCGUGAUAGAAAUCGGGAUUCUGACAAAACAGAUGCAGACUGGAGGGCUCGUCCUGCCAUACAGCUUUGAUGACUAGAGGUGAUGAUAGCUUUGGAGACGAGUAUCGAGAUCGUUAUGAUUCAGACCGGUAUCGCGAUGGGUAUCGGCAUGGGUACCAGGAUGGCCCUCGCCGGGAUAUGGAUCGAUAUGGCGGCCGGGAUCGCUAUGAUGGCCCAGGCAGCAGAGACUAUGAUCGAGGCUAUGACUCCCGGAUAGGCAGUGGCAGAAGAGCAUUUGGCAGCGGAUACCGCAGGGAUGAUGACUACAGAGGAGGCGGGGACCGCCAUGAAGACCGAUAUGACAGAAGGGAUGAUCGGUCAUGGAGCUCCAGAGAUGAUUACUCUAGGGAUGAUUAUAGGCGUGACGAUAGAGGUCCGCCCCAAAGACCCAAACUGAAUCUAAAGCCUCGGAGUACUCCUAAGGAAGAUGAUUCCUCUGCUAGUACCCCCCAGUCCAGUCGAGCUGCUUCUGUCUUUGGAGGGGCAAAACCCGUUGACACAGCAGCUAGAGAAAGAGAAGUAGAAGAAUGCUACAGAAGGAACAAGAGAAGUUGCAGCGUCAGCUGGAUGAGCCCAAACUAGAAAGACGGGCUCGGGAGAGACACCCAAGCUGGCGGAGUGAAGAAACUCAGGAACGGGAAGGGUCGAGGACAGGAAGUGAGUCAUCGCAGACUGGGAUCUCCACCACAUCUGGCAGAAGUAAGUCAGAUCAGGAUGCAUGAUGGAGAGAGAGUGAGAAGGCUCUAGAAAAUGAAACAGUAAGGAGGAAGAUCGUCUCUCUCCAACUUCUAAACCUCCCAAACCUAAUCAGCCUCUAAAGGUAAUGCCAGCCCCUCCACCAAAGGAGAAUGCUGGGGUGAAGCGAAGUUCUAACCCUCCUGCUCGAUCUCAGAGCUCAGACACAGAGCAGCAAUCCCCUACAAGUGGUGGGGGAAAAGUAGCUCCAGCUCAACCAUCUGAGGAAACACCAGCCAGGAAAGAUGAAAAUAAAAUAGAUGGGAUGAAUAUCCCAAAAGGCCAAACUGGGAACUCUAGCCGUGGUCCAGGAGAUGGAGUGAACAAAGACCACUGGAAGGAGUCAGAUCGGAAAGAUGGCAAAAAGGAUCAAGACUCCAGAUCUGCACCUGAGCCAAAGAAAUCAGGAAAAUCCAGCUUCCAUGUUCAGUUCUGCAAGCAAGUAUGCUGCUCUCUCCAUUGAUGGUGAAGAUGAAAACGAGGGAGAAGAUUAUGCUGAAUAGACCUCAACAUCCUGUGCUUUCUCCUAAUUUCUCUCCAACCUGGAACAUUCGAGAGCAAAUCAAACCUCUAUCCAGACAAGACAAAAUAAAACUCACCAUCUCCUGGAAAAAAAAAAAAA